rnacentral:rRNA from 1 species
UCCGGAGGGAGCUAGCGUUGUUCGGAAUUACUGGGCGUAAAGCGCGCGUAGGCGGUUUUUUAAGUCGGAUGUGCAAUCCCUGGGCUCAACCCAGGAACUGCAUCCGAGACUGGAAGGCUAGAGUACUGGAGAGGGUGGUGGAAUUCCUCGUGUAGCGGUGAAAUGCGUAGAGAUGAGGAGGAACACCAGUGGCGAAGGCGGCCACCUGGACAGUAACUGACGCUGAGGCACGAAAGCGUGGGGAGCAAACAGG